GUUGCAAGCCGCAGGGAGGGGCGGGUCAGCGGGCACAGUCGGGUAUAAGGUUGGCACAGGUGGGUCUGUAAGUGGUACUUGAAGUCGUCCGUCAGAAUGGCCUCUUCAGCUCUGCUCUUGUCUCUCCUGCUGCUCUGUCUCUCAGGGAUCCUCGCUCAAACUACAGGUCAGCUGUCCUUCCUCCUGGAGGUGAAAUACAACCAACCGGACAGAAACAGUCACGUGUUCUCUGCCCAAACUCCCUUCAGAGGGGUUCUGUUUGGGGCCAUGACCAGGCUGAACGACUCUAGCCCAGAUUUCAACUUCACCUCCUCAACGAACGUCGACUACGGAGAGUUCCUGGUGAGCGUCAACGGUUUGUUUGGGAACGACCAAGACCGGACAUACUGGGAGCUGCUGGUUCAGAAAGACACCAACACCAUUAUCAGACCUGAUGUUGGUAGGUUUGUGUGUGUGUGUGUGUGUGUGUGUGUGUGUGUGUGUGUGUGUGUGUGUGUGUGUGUGUGUGUGUGUGUGUGUGUGUGUGUGUGUGUGUGUGUGUGUGUGUGUAUCUACGAUAAAUGAUCUUCUAACUUCCUAUGAAACAUAAAACUUUUACGUUGUUGCAGGGAUCAGCUGUUACAUUCCUCAGGCCAGGGAGAAGGUGAUCCUGAACUACACCACUUAUUAGACAGAGGUCCCGUCUUUGGAUCGCUCUCACUGGGAGAGUAUGGACCUUAUGCCCCUGGCGGCCAUCUUGGUUCUAACCUCAGCAGUAUUUAUGCUCCUGUUUGGAACCAAGAUGGCAGCUUUGUAAAUAAGGCCCAGGCUUUGGAACCCGGACGAUCACAUCUCAACCUGGCCUUGCUUGUUUUUUUGUUCCAUAAUAAUUUUGCGAUUAAAGACUUCUAGUGUAUAAACCUCAACCUGCCUCUGGUC
rnacentral:lncRNA from 1 species